rnacentral:rRNA from 1 species
AGUGAACGCUGGCGGUAGGCCUAACACAUGCAAGUCGAACGGCAGCACAGUAAGAGCUUGCUCUUACGGGUGGCGAGUGGCGGACGGGUGAGGAAUACAUCGGAAUCUACUUUUUCGUGGGGGUUAACGUAGGGAAACUUACGCUAAUACCGCAUACGACCUACGGGUGAAAGCAGGGGAUCUUCGGACCUUGCGCGAUUGAAUGCGCCGAUGUCGGAUUAGCUAGUUGGCGGGGUAAAGGCCCACCAAGGCGACGAUCCGUAGCUGGUCUGAGAGGAUGAUCAGCCACACUGGAGCUGAGACACGGUCCAGACUCCUACGGGAGGCAGCAGUGGGGAAUAUUGGACAAUGGGCGCAAGCCUGAUCCAGCCAUACCGCGUGGGUGAAGGAGGCCUUCGGGUUGUAAAGCCCUUUUGUUGGGAAAGAAAAGCAGCAGGUUAAUACCCCGCUGUUCUGACGGUACCCAAAGAAUAAGCACCGGCUAACUUCGUG